UUUCACCUCUGGGAGCGACCUGCUCACCCGGACGUUUCAGAGCAGCCCGGGUGUUUCCACCUGCGACCCAUCCACGCCUUUCCCAGUCCGUAUGUCCCAGAAGUCAGACAGGGGACAAGGACUAUUAAGCAUCGUCCUGGCCAGUCACCAGCUUCUCCCGGGCCAGGUGCGCCCGGGAGUCCCAGGUCCCAGACGCCAUCUCCUUGGCGACGACGCAGGCUCACUCCUUGCGGGAGCCCGUUACCACGGCAACCGGAGUCCUUGGGCGGACGGAGAGCCAAGCGCUGCAGGACUACACUUCCCAGCAGCCCCCGCGAGCGGGGCGUACCAGACGGCUCAGCGUGUCGAGAAUCGGCCGGCAAUGCCGGAGACUCAGAGACGGGGAUCGAGAAGAUCCCCUGGAGGAGGGCACGGCAGCCCGCUCCAGUGUUCUUGCCUGGAGAAUCCUAUGGACAGAGGAGCCUGCGGGCUGCGGUCCAUGGGUCCGCAAAGAGUCGGACACCACUGAAGGGACUGAGCGCGCACCCGCGGGGGCGGGGGUCCCGCCCGUCCUCGCAGCCGCGCCCCUCUUCAGAGCCGUGGCCCGGAGCAGGAGGGUGGAAGGCUCCGCGCUGCGAGCGGGCGGGGACGCGGGGACCCACGCCGGCCACCCCGGCGAGUAACGGGCAUCUCGCGCGUUCCCGCGACCCCAGCCUGCAAGCGGGGCGCCCAGGCGUCCGCCACCCCGGCUCCCACCCCAGCGCCGCACACGGGGUCCCGGCGGGGCGGACCGGCGCACUUCCGGUCCGCGGGCUCCGGCCCGGGCGGGCACCGCUGUCGGCCGUUCAGUUCCGGGCGGGCCUGUCCGUUGUGUUUCUGGCUCCGGCUCCCGCGUCCCGGUCGUGGAGGCCGAGGCCCGGGCCUGCCCUCCGCGCUUCAAAGCUGCCUCUGUUGAUUUCCAGGAAAAUCUUAUCAGCCUCAGGGGUCGUGUCCAGGUGCUGAGGACGCUGAGCCUCGCUCACCUCCUUCCCACGGAAGCUGGCGUGCGGUCUGCAGGACGCGGCCCGGGAGACAUUGGUCCCCCCAGCCUCCCUGCGGGCCCGAAGGUCCUUGAGCCCAAAUCUCAUUCACCGGCAGCCAGUUAGGAAGGCUGGGCCAGCCCGCAGCGUGGAGGUCGUGGUCUCCCAGGGCAGACGGGAGGUUACUGUCAGACACCUGGAACAAUUGCAGUUCGGGGUCAGGGACGGGCUCCCGGCUGCCCUCGCCAAGCGCAGCCCCAGAUCCUGGGUCCGUGGCUGGCAGGUGGUCAAGUACAGGAGAGGUGGCUCGAUGAUGCAGCCUCGGAGCAGGGCAGCAGAGGCAGAGACAUAGCCACGCUCUGCAGCUUCCAUCUGCCAGCUCUAGUGCUGGGAUGUGCAGAGGAGCCACCUGUGGGGGCAGGGUGUCUGGAGGCGCCCUCAGCCCUGCCUCCUGUGAGUCCACGGCCCCUUCCUGCAAGAUGGGGCUGCAGCUUCCAGGUACCACCCCAUCACCCGCGACCCUCUGUCUGGCACUGAGCAGUCAUCGGAGGGCAUCACUGGGGGUCAGGAGAGGCCCCCUCCCCAGGCAACCCACCCAUCCCAUCGAGGGUGCUGGGCUGGUCUCCGCACGUGUGGCUACAACUGACUGGGCAGCUUGAAACAACAGGACUUGAUUCAGUUCUACAGGCCAGGCGUCUGAAAUCAAGGUGUUGGCAGGCACAGCCUCCGAAGGCUCGGCACUCCUGUGGGGUCCCCUUCUCUGUGAGGGGCCGGGUUCACACUUGGGUUGCAGCUGUACAAAGAGAAGGGGUGGCAGGGUCCCCACAUCAGCACUCAUGGCUCCCUUGUGCGUGGGGACCCCAGAUCCUCGCCUGCUGGCGUCCCUGGGCUGGCCCCGUUAGCAGAGGGUCCUGGCAGCCACCCCAGCAGCUCUGCAGUUGGUCCCCUGCAGGGUCAGCCUGGCUUCUUGGAGGCAGACCAAGGAAAUCUGUUAAACCUGCAGAGGCAGAGACUCAAGCGAGGCUGGGGAGGUAGCAGCCUGGGUCUGCCCUGCAGACCACCCCCUGCCCCACCGACCCCUGCCAGAGAGUAAGGCCGACCCCUGUGGGAGGCAGAUGCUGAAUGAGGUGGGCAGUGGUGGGAGCCAGUGCCCCUGGGUGUGGAGCCAGGGCUCCAGGGUCCGACAAACUGAGCCGCACAUCCUGCUGGAGUCAGGCCUCGUGGAGUCACAGCUCCUCAUCUGUGGUGACUGAAGUGCCCUGCACUUGCCUCCACAGGGCAAUAAUGGGCCCUGCGCCCCAGCAUGCUGCCCAUUAUUCCCAGCAGGUGUCUCCAUCUUCCCACAAAGCAUUUUCUUCUUGAAGCGAGUGGAUUAAGAGACACCUGGUUGAAGAGAAGUCUGUGCCCUGGGGAGAAUGCUGUCAGAUCAGAUCAGGUCAGAUCAGUCGCUCAGUCAUGUCCGACUCUUUGCGACCCCAUGAAUCGAAGAACGCCAGGCCUCCCUGUCCAUCACCAACUCCCGGAGUUCACUGAGACUCACGUCCAUCAAGUCAGUGAUGCCAUCCAGCCAUCUCAUCCUCUGUCGUCCCCUUCUCCUCUUGCCCCUAAUCCCUCCCAGCAUCAGAGUCUUUUCCAAUGAGUCAGCUCUUGACAUGAGGUGGCCAAAGUACUGGAGUUUCAGCUUUAGCAUCAUUCCUUCCAAAGAAAUCCCAGGGGUGAUCUCCUUGCAGUCCAAGGGACUCUCAAGAGUUUUCUCCAACACCAUAGUUCAAAAGCAUCAAUUCUUUGGCGCUCAGCCUUCUUCACAGUCCAACUCUCACAUCCAUACAUGACCACUGGAAAAACCAUAGCCUUGACUAGACGAACCUUUGUUGGCAAAGUAAUGUCUCUGCUUUUCAAUAUGCUAUCUAGGUUGGUCAUAACUUUCCUUCCAAGGAGUAAGCGUCUUUUAAUUUCAUGGCUGCAGUCACCAUCUGGAGUGAUUUUGGAGCCCAGAAAAAUAAAGUCUGACACUGUUUCCACUGUUUCCCCAUCUAUUUCCCAUGAAGUGAUGGGACCGGAUGCCAUGAUCUUCGUUUUCUGAAUGUUGAGCUUUAAGCCAACUUUUUCACUCUCCACUUUCUGUCAACCCUGCGUUAAUCUUCUGAUGUAAAAACUGCUUGGUGUGCAGUCAGCUUGACCAUGGACAAAAAGCUGAUGUUUUAUUUUACCUAACAAUUCCCAAGACCUUGUUUUUAUUAUAAAAAUAUCGCUUAAACACAUAUGCACUCACCUCCUGUCAAUGCAGUCUUGUCCCUGUGGCGGGGCUUGGAUGACUUCUGGAUGUUGGUGGGUGGGCUGGCCCCAGCCACCUCAAGUGGACACCCCAGCAUGCCAAAGGCAAGAACACCUUAUGCCCUGAGUGCCUUCUGGUUUUGAGAUGCAAUUCACAGAACAUAAUUGAACCAUUUCAAAGUGUACAAUUCAGGUUGGUUUUUGUUUUUGUUAUAUUUUUUAGUUCAUGUAUUUUCUGUGCUGUGUGAUUGUCAUCAUCACUAAUUCCAGUACAUUUCCACACUCCAAAAUGAAACUCUGCUUAUUAAGCCAUUACUCCCCUUUGUUCCUCCCCUCAGCCCCUAGCAACCACUAAUUCACUUUGGAUCUGCUUGUUCUAGAUUUUUCAUAUAAAUGGAAUCAUACAAUAUGUGGCCUUUUGGUGUCUGGCUUCUUUCCCUGACCGUGGUAUUUUCUGUGGUCUGAGCAUGUACCAGUAUUUCAUUCCUUGUUAUUGCUGAGUAAUAUUCCAUCCUAUGGGUAGACCACAAUUCAUUUAGCCAUUCAUCAGUUGAUGGACAUUUGGGUUGUUUCCACCUUUUGGCGGUUAGGGAAAAUUCUGCAGUGAACAUUAGUGUACAAGUGUUUGCUUGAACGCCUGUUUUCACUUCUCUCACGUAGGACUGGACGUGUGGUGUACUGUUUGACCACUGCGGGCACGUCCAGGCAGCCAUCCACAGCGGCUGGCUGCACUGUUUUCCAUUCCCAGCUGCCACAUGAGGGUGCAUUCUGCACUUGCCUUUCCCCGGCCAGCUCUUCCCGCCCAUCUGUCCUCGGCAGGGCAGACUCUGUGUGGGCCGGGUGCUGGAUGCCUGAGCAGUUAAGCCGCAGCGGGUGACACACAACAGGGCCUGCCGCCCACCGCUCUGCCCAUCCUGGCGUAUGAGUGACGCCUUUUGGAACCUGCGGCUGGUCUACUUACUCGCACAACAGGCUUCAAAUUCUAGAGAAACACCUCCCUUGACCUCCCCCAGGAGUCACAGCUGCUGACCCCAGCUCUGUCGGCCUGGGCUGGCGUCCACUGUGGGUCAGGUUGUUCCCACCUGCUGCUGGGCGUAUGAGUGACGUCUUUUGGAACCUGCGGCUGGUCUACUUACUUGCACAACAGGCUUCAAAUUCUAGAGAAACACCUUCCUUGACCUCCCCCAGGAGUCACAGCUGCUGACCCCAGCUCUGUCGGCCUGGGCUGGCGUCCACUGUGGGUCAGGUUGUUCCCACCUGCUGCUGAGCCAGCGCACCUGGCUCCCCACAGCCCCAUUCUCAGCAUCUCAGGUGGACAGGCAGCAUGGCGGCCAGCCCACGUCCCGCCUGGGAUGAGCAUCCUCGGACUCCAGCCCACGAGCUCUGGGAAAGCAGAGCUUCUCGUCACAUCCUCCCACGUGGUGACAGGUGAUCAUCAGGGCCCUGGGGACAGUUUGGCAUGGGGCAUGGCAUGCCAGUGUUCACCAUCACCCCAAUAUCCUCACGCCUGCUUGGAGAAGGGGCUCCCAGCACCCAUUCUUCAGUCUCAAGCUCCAGCUGGCUAAUUUGUCAGGUGGAGAAACCGAGGGACAAUGUGGUGAGUUGCCACAGAGCACGGGAGGCACUGGAUUUCCAAGGAAUUACCCGAUCAAUGCCACCAAUGGGGGGAGAGGCCUUCACCUCCCUGGGUUGAAGGCCAGGCCCACACAGGCCCAGAGGGGACGGGAGAUUGUGCAAUGGCCACGUGUGUGUGUGAUGAGUGUGUGUGAUGUGCGACCUGUGUGAGAACCUCAGGUCCUGCCUGUCUGUAUGGCCUCCUUGUUUCUCUGGGGAAUGCCUCAGACCAGUUACUUGCCGAACGCAGGACCAGACAGGACGCUCUUACUCGGGGCCUUCAGCUUCCGGAUUCCGACAAGCAGUCCCUGACGAGCAGAGCAAUUGCAGCUCCUGUGGCCCCUCACUGUCCACAGGCCGCACCUUCCUCUGCAAUCUCACCUUUAACCAAUUCACCGUGGCUGAUUUCCACUCAAAAACCUUUUCCCCAGAGCUCUGACCACUGAUUCAUCUCUGCGGCUGUAGUUGAGAUUUUUUGUUUAGUCUCUAAGUUGUGUUGGCUCUUUGGGACCCUAUGGAUUAUAGCCUCCA
ensembl:lncRNA